rnacentral:lncRNA from 12 species
AUGGUUUACAUUUUAAUUCAUACCUUAAGGCAACUUAGUGAGAGAAGACCUCUACGUAUGCUGGAUUACUUAGUUGCUACUCAUACAUUUCCUAAUCUAAUCACAAGAAGGCUGUGGGGUACAACUCUUGCCUGCAAUUUAGAGAGGAUAGAGCUGGAGCAUCUGUCUCACACAUAAAUUGGUAAGCGUGGGCUGCAGAAUUCCUAAGUCUACGCACUUUUGGCAAAAAAAUAGAGUCCUUUCUCUUGUCUUUCCAAAUUUA